AGGACGAACGCUGGCGGCGUGCUUAACACAUGCAAGUCGAGCGGAAAGGCCCUUCGGGGUACUCGAGCGGCGAACGGGUGAGUAACACGUGAGUAAUCUGCCCCUAGCUCUGGGAUAGCUCCGGGAAACCGGGAUUAAUACUGGAUACGACCACCUUAGACAUCUUUUGUGGUGGAAAGAAUUUCGGCUAGGGAUGAGCUCGCGGCCUAUCAGCUUGUUGGUGGGGUAACGGCCUACCAAGGCGACGACGGGUAGCCGGCCUGAGAGGGCGACCGGCCACACUGGGACUGAGACACGGCCCAGACUCCUACGGGAGGCAGCAGUGGGGAAUAUUGCGCAAUGGGCGAAAGCCUGACGCAGCGACGCCGCGUGGGGGAUGAAGGCCUUCGGGUUGUAAACCCUUUCAGCAGGGACGAAGCGAAAGUGACGGUACCUGCAGAAGAAGCGCCGGCUAACUACGUGCCAGCAGCCGC
rnacentral:rRNA from 1 species